rnacentral:rRNA from 1 species
GACGAACGCUGGCGGCGUGCUUAACACAUGCAAGUCGAACGGUGAAGCGCCUUCCUUUUUGGUGGGUGUGGAUGAGUGGCGAACGGGUGAGUAACACGUGAGUAACCUGCCCCCUUCUUCUGGAUAACCGCAUGAAAGUGUGGCUAAUACGGGAUAUUCUGGGUCUGUCGCAUGAUGGGUCUGGGAAAGAUAUUGUUUCGGUGGGGGAUGGGCUCGCGGCCUAUCAGCUUGUCGGUGGGGUGAUGGCCUACCAAGGCGGUGACGGGUAGCCGGCCUGAGAGGGUGGACGGUCACACUGGGACUGAGACACGGCCCAGACUCCUACGGGAGGCAGCAGUGGGGAAUAUUGCACAAUGGGCGCAAGCCUGAUGCAGCGACGCCGCGUGAGGGAUGGAGGCCUUCGGGUUGUGAACCUCUUUCGCCAGUGAAGCAGGCCUGCCUCGUUUGUGGGUGGGUUGACGGUAGCUGGAGAAGAAGCGCCGGCUAACUACGUG